rnacentral:rRNA from 1 species
CCUACGGGAGACUGCAGUAGGGAAUCUUCCACAAUGGGCGAAAGCCUGAUGGAGCAACGCCGCGUGGGUGAAGAAGGUCUUCGGAUCGUAAAACCCUGUUGUUAGAGAAGCAAGUGCGUGAGAGUAACUGUUCACGUUUCAACGGUAUCUAACCAGAAAGCCACGGCUAACUACGUGCCAGCAGCCGCGGUAAUACGUAGGUGGCAAGCGUUAUCCGGAUUUAUUGGGCGUAAAGGGAACGCAGGCGGUCUUUUAAGUCUGAUGUGAAAGCCUUCGGCUUAACCGGAGUAGGGCAGUGGAAACUGGGAGACUGGAGUGCAGAAGAGGAGAGUGGAACUCAAUGUGUAGCGGUGAAAUGCGUAGAUAUAUGGAAGAACACCAGUGGCGAAAGCGGCUCUCUGGUCUGUAACUGACGCUGAGGUUCGAAAGCGUGGGUAGCAAACAGGAUUAGAUACCCCAGUAGUC